rnacentral:rRNA from 1 species
AGGACGAACGCUGGCGGCGUGCUUAACACAUGCAAGUCGAGCGGUAAGGCCUUUCGGGGUACACGAGCGGCGAUCGGGUGAGUAACACGUGGGUGAUCUGCCCUGCACUUCGGGAUAAGCCUGGGAAACUGGGUCUAAUACCGGAUAUGACCUCAGGUUGCAUGACUUGGGGUGGAAAGAUUUAUCGGUGCAGGAUGGGCCCGCGGCCUAUCAGCUUGUUGGUGGGGUAAUGGCCUACCAAGGCGACGACGGGUAGCCGACCUGAGAGGGUGACCGGCACACUGGGAUUGAGACGCGGCCCAGACUCCUACGGGAGGCAGCAGUGGGGAAUAUUGCACAAUGGGCGAAAGCCUGAUGCAGCGACGCCGCGUGAGGGAUGACGGCCUUCGGGUGUAAACCUCUUCUAGCAGGACGAAGCGCAAGUGACGGUACCUAGCAGAAGAAGCUACCGGCUAACUACGUACGACCGAGCAGCCGAC